rnacentral:rRNA from 1 species
UACGGAGGGUGCGAGCGUUGUCCGGAAUCACUGGGCGUAAAGCGCACGUAGGCGGCUUUGCAAGUCGGAUGUGAAAUCCCUCGGCUUAACCAAGGAAGUGCAUCCGAAACUGCAGAGCUUGAGUACUUAAGAGGAUCGCGGAAUUCCCGGUGUAGAGGUGAAAUUCGUAGAUAUCGGGAGGAACACCAGUGGCGAAGGCGGCGAUCUGGGAAGAUACUGACGCUAAGGUGCGAAAGCGUGGGGAGCAAACAGG